rfam:Candidatus Omnitrophica bacterium CG1_02_49_10 cg1_0.2_scaffold_15299_c, whole genome shotgun sequence.
AAAGUUCGACUUGGGCAAAGGUUAGCCGCCAGCCCAACACUAAAUUCCACAUUUAGGGAGGUAACGAACUAAAUGAAGCUGGAAGGCGGGAGACAUCGGGAUACAACGCAAGUGAAGGGAUUGAGCCCCGAAAUUACCAACGUGUCGGAGGUCGACGCUGUUCAUCUAGCGGCAGACAAUAUUCUUGCCACCGUAACCGGCAAGGCGGCAAGAGCCCGACGGGGUCUGAGACCG